GAACGCUGGCGGCGUGCCUAAUACAUGCAAGUCGAGCGGACAGAUGGGAGCUUGCUCCCUGAUGUUAGCGGCGGACGGGUGAGUAACACGUGGGUAACCUGCCUGUAAGACUGGGAUAACUCCGGGAAACCGGGGCUAAUACCGGAUGGUUGUUUGAACCGCAUGGUUCAAACAUAAAAGGUGGCUUCGGCUACCACUUACAGAUGGACCCGCGGCGCAUUAGCUAGUUGGUGAGGUAACGGCUCACCAAGGCAACGAUGCGUAGCCGACCUGAGAGGGUGAUCGGCCACACUGGGACUGAGACACGGCCCAGACUCCUACGGGAGGCAGCAGUAGGGAAUCUUCCGCAAUGGACGAAAGUCUGACGGAGCAACGCCGCGUGAGUGAUGAAGGUUUUCGGAUCGUAAAGCUCUGUUGUUAGGGAAGAACAAGUACCGUUCGAAUAGGGCGGUACCUUGACGGUACCUAACCAGAAAGCCACGGCUAACUACGUGCCAGCAGCCGCGGUAAUACGUAGGUGGCAAGCGUUGUCCGGAAUUAUUGGGCGUAAAGGGCUCGCAGGCGGUUUCUUAAGUCUGAUGUGAAAGCCCCCGGCUCAACCGGGGAGGGUCAUUGGAAACUGGGGAACUUGAGUGCAGAAGAGGAGAGUGGAAUUCCACGUGUAGCGGUGAAAUGCGUAGAGAUGUGGAGGAACACCAGUGGCGAAGGCGACUCUCUGGUCUGUAACUGACGCUGAGGAGCGAAAGCGUGGGGAGCGAACAGGAUUAGAUACCCUGGUAGUCCACGCCGUAAACGAUGAGUGCU
rnacentral:rRNA from 1 species